AUGAACGCUAGCUACAGGCUUAACACAUGCAAGUCGAGGGGCAUCAGGAAGAAAGCUUGCUUUCUUUGCUGGCGACCGGCGCACGGGUGAGUAACACGUAUCCAACCUGCCCUUUACUCGGGGAUAGCCUUUCGAAAGAAAGAUUAAUACCCGAUGGCAUAAUGAUUCCGCAUGGUUUCAUUAUUAAAGGAUUCCGGUAAAGGAUGGGGAUGCGUUCCAUUAGGUUGUUGGUGAGGUAACGGCUCACCAAGCCUUCGAUGGAUAGGGGUUCUGAGAGGAAGGUCCCCCACAUUGGAACUGAGACACGGUCCAAACUCCUACGGGAGGCAGCAGUGAGGAAUAUUGGUCAAUGGGCGCUAGCCUGAACCAGCCAAGUAGCGUGAAGGAUGAAGGCUCUAUGGGUCGUAAACUUCUUUUAUAUAAGAAUAAAGUGCAGUAUGUAUACUGUUUUGUAUGUAUUAUAUGAAUAAGGAUCGGCUAACUCCGUGCCAGCAGCCGCGGUAAUACGGAGGAUCCGAGCGUUAUCCGGAUUUAUUGGGUUUAAAGGGAGCGUAGGUGGACUGGUAAGUCAGUUGUGAAAGUUUGCGGCUCAACCGUAAAAUUGCAGUUGAUACUGUCAGUCUUGAGUACAGUAGAGGUGGGCGGAAUUCGUGGUGUAGCGGUGAAAUGCUUAGAUAUCACGAAGAACUCCGAUUGCGAAGGCAGCUCACUGGACUGCAACUGACACUGAUGCUCGAAAGUGUGGGUAUCAAACAGGAUUAGAUACCCUGGUAGUCCACACAGUAAACGAUGAAUACUCGCUGUUUGCGAUAUACAGUAAGCGGCCAAGCGAAAGCAUUAAGUAUUCCACCUGGGGAGUACGCCGGCAACGGUGAAACUCAAAGGAAUUGACGGGGGCCCGCACAAGCGGAGGAACAUGUGGUUUAAUUCGAUGAUACGCGAGGAACCUUACCCGGGCUUAAAUUGCAGUGGAAUGAUGUGGAAACAUGUCAGUGAGCAAUCACCGCUGUGAAGGUGCUGCAUGGUUGUCGUCAGCUCGUGCCGUGAGGUGUCGGCUUAAGUGCCAUAACGAGCGCAACCCUUAUCUUCAGUUACUAACAGGUCAUGCUGAGGACUCUGGAGAGACUGCCGUCGUAAGAUGUGAGGAAGGUGGGGAUGACGUCAAAUCAGCACGGCCCUUACGUCCGGGGCUACACACGUGUUACAAUGGGGGGUACAGAAGGCAGCUAGCGGGUGACCGUAUGCUAAUCCCAAAAUCCUCUCUCAGUUCGGAUCGAAGUCUGCAACCCGACUUCGUGAAGCUGGAUUCGCUAGUAAUCGCGCAUCAGCCACGGCGCGGUGAAUACGUUCCCGGGCCUUGUACACACCGCCCGUCAAGCCAUGGGAGCCGGAGGUACCUGAAGUACGUAACCGCAAGGAUCGUCCUAGGGUAAAACUGGUGACUGGGGCU
rnacentral:rRNA from 1 species